rnacentral:snRNA from 1 species
GAAGCCGGGUUACGGUGCC